AGAGUUUGAUCAUGGCUCAGAUUGAACGCUGGCGGCAGGCCUAACACAUGCAAGUCGAGCGGAAACGACACUAACAAUCCUUCGGGUGCGUUAAUGGGCGUCGAGCGGCGGACGGGUGAGUAAUGCCUAGGAAAUUGCCUUGAUGUGGGGGAUAACCAUUGGAAACGAUGGCUAAUACCGCAUAAUGCCUACGGGCCAAAGAGGGGGAUCUUCGGACCUCUCGCGUCAAGAUAUGCCUAGGUGGGAUUAGCUAGUUGGUGAGGUAAUGGCUCACCAAGGCGACAAUCCCUAGCUGGUCUGAGAGGAUGAUCAGCCACACUGGAACUGAGACACGGUCCAGACUCCUACGGGAGGCAGCAGUGGGGAAUAUUGCACAAUGGGCGAAAGCCUGAUGCAGCCAUGCCGCGUGUAUGAAGAAGGCCUUCGGGUUGUAAAGUACUUUCAGUUGUGAGGAAGGGGGUAGUGUUAAUAGCGCUAUCUCUUGACGUUAGCAACAGAAGAAGCACCGGCUAACUCCGUGCCAGCAGCCGCGGUAAUACGGA
rnacentral:rRNA from 1 species